GUGCAACUCGCUCCUGAGUGAGUCGGGGGCCGAAAGGGUGCUGCGGCUGGGAAGCCCGGGCGCCGGGGACCUGCGCGCGCUGCCCGGCCUGGCCGGAGCCUGUAGCCCGGGGGCGCCACGGCCGGGCUCGCAGUCCCCCCACGCCGGCCCCCCGGUCCCCGCCGAGCCAGUGUCCUCACCCUGUGGUUUCCUUUCGCUUCUCGCCUCCCAAACACCUCCAGCAAGUCGGAGGGCGCGAACGCGGAGCCAGAAACCCUUCCCCAAAGUUUCUCCCGCCAGGUACCUAAUUGAAUCAUCCAUAGGAUGACAAAUCAGCCAGGGCCAAGAUUUCCAGACACUUGAGUGACUUCCCGGUCCCCGAGGUGACUUGUCAGCUCCAGUGAGUAACUUGGAACUGUCGCUCGGGGCAAGGUGUGUGUCUAGGAGAGAGCCGGCGGCUCACUCACGCUUUCCAGAGAGCGACCCGGGCCGACUUCAAAAUACACACAGGGUCAUUUAUAGGGACUGGAGCCGCGCGCAGGACAACGUCUCCGAGACUGAGACAUUUUCCAAACAGUGCUGACAUUUUGUCGGGCCCCAUAAAAAAUGUAAACGCGAGGUGACGAACCCGGCGGGGAGGGUUCGUGUCUGGCUGUGUCUGCGUCCUGGCGGCGUGGGAGGUUAUAGUUCCAGACCUGGCGGCUGCGGAUCGCCGGGCCGGUACCCGCGAGGAGUGUAGGUACCCUCAGCCCGACCACCUCCCGCAAUCAUGGGGACACCGGCUUGGAUGAGACACAGGCGUGGAAAACAGCCUUCGUGAAACUCCACAAACACGUGGAACUUGAAAAGACAACUACAGCCCCGCGUGUGCGCGAGAGACCUCACGUCACCCCAUCAGUUCCCACUUCGCCAAAGUUUCCCUUCAGUGGGGACUCCAGAGUGGUGCGCCCCAUGCCCGUGCGUCCUGUAACGUGCCCUGAUUGUGUACCCCUCUGCCCGCUCUACUUGAAAUGAAAACACAAAAACUGUUCCGAAUUAGCGCAACUUUAAAGCCCCGUUAUCUGUCUUCUACACUGGGCGCUCUUAGGCCACUGACAGAAACAUGGUUUGAACCCUAAUUGUUGCUAUCAGUCUCAGUCAGCGCAGGUCUCUCAGUGACCUGUGACGCCGGGAGUUGAGGUGCGCGUAUCCUUAAACCCGCGCGAACGCCACCGGCUCAGCGUAGAAAACUAUUUGUAAUCCCUAGUUUGCGUCUCUGAGCUUUAACUCCCCCACACUCUCAAGCGCCCGGUUUCUCCUCGUCUCUCGCCUGCGAGCAAAGUUCCUAUGGCAUCCACUUACCAGGUAACCGGGAUUUCCACAACAAAGCCCGGCGUGCGGGUCCCUUCCCCCGGCCGGCCAGCGCGAGUGACAGCGGGCGGCCGGCGCUGGCGAGGAGUAACUUGGGGCUCCAGCCCUUCAGAGCGCUCCGCGGGCUGUGCCUCCUUCGGAAAUGAAAACCCCCAUCCAAACGGGGGGACGGAGCGCGGAAACCCGGCCCAAGUGCCGUGUGUGCGCGCGCGUCUGCGAGGGCAGCGGCGGCAGGGGGAGGAGGAGGCAGAGGCGGGGUGGCUGGACCCUCGGCAUCAGCUCAUUCUCCCCUGCUACACACAUACACACACAAAUAAUGUUUCUAAAAAGUUCAGUUGCGACUUUGUGCCUCGCCUGUCCUGUUCAUCCUCGUCCUGGGCCGGGGAAUGCUUCUGGGGGCCGACCCCGGGAUGCUGGCUAAUUGCUGCCGGCGGGUUCCGUCGCCGGUGUGACCCUGGACGGCGCGGACGGCGUACAGGGGGUCCCGGGAGGGGCAGUGGCCGCGGCACUCGCCGCCGGUGCCCGUGCGCGCCGCGCUCUGGGCUGCCCGGGCGGCGCAGUGUGGACGCGGCUGCAGGGAGAGGGGAAGGGGGAAGAGGGAGGGAGGAAGGCAGCCGGGCGAGGAGUGUGGAUGUGUGUGCGGCCGCGAGGGCCGGC
rnacentral:lncRNA from 1 species